UGCAAGUCGAACGGUGAAGCAGAGCUUGCUCUGUGGAUCAGUGGCGAACGGGUGAGUAACACGUGAGUAACCUGCCCUUGACUCUGGGAUAAGCGUUGGAAACGACGUCUAAUACCGGAUACGACCCUCAACCGCAUGGUUAGGGGGUGGAAAGAUUUUUUGGUCAAGGAUGGACUCGCGGCCUAUCAGCUUGUUGGUGAGGUAAUGGCUCACCAAGGCGACGACGGGUAGCCGGCCUGAGAGGGUGACCGGCCACACUGGGACUGAGACACGGCCCAGACUCCUACGGGAGGCAGCAGUGGGGAAUAUUGCACAAUGGGCGCAAGCCUGAUGCAGCAACGCCGCGUGAGGGAUGACGGCCUUCGGGUUGUAAACCUCUUUUAGUAGGGAAGAAGCGAAAGUGACGGUACCUGCAGAAAAAGCACCGGCUAACUACGUGCCAGCAGCCGCGGUAAUACGUAGGGUGCAAGCGUUGUCCGGAAUUAUUGGGCGUAAAGAGCUCGUAGGCGGUUUGUCGCGUCUGCUGUGAAAACUGGAGGCUCAACCUCCAGCCUGCAGUGGGUACGGGCAGACUAGAGUGCGGUAGGGGAGAUUGGAAUUCCUGGUGUAGCGGUGGAAUGCGCAGAUAUCAGGAGGAACACCGAUGGCGAAGGCAGAUCUCUGGGCCGUAACUGACGCUGAGGAGCGAAAGCGUGGGGAGCGAACAGGAUUAGAUACCCUGGUAGUCCACGCCGUAAACGUUGGGAACUAGAUGUGGGGACCAUUCCACGGUCUCCGUGUCGCAGCUAACGCAUUAAGUUCCCCGCCUGGGGAGUACGGCCGCAAGGCUAAAACUCAAAGGAAUUGACGGGGGCCCGCACAAGCGGCGGAGCAUGCGGAUUAAUUCGAUGCAACGCGAAGAACCUUACCAAGGCUUGACAUAUACGAGAACGGGCCAGAAAUGGUCAACUCUUUGGACACUCGUAAACAGGUGGUGCAUGGUUGUCGUCAGCUCGUGUCGUGAGAUGUUGGGGUUAAGUCCCGCAACGAGCGCAACCCUCGUUCUAUGUUGCCAGCAC
rnacentral:rRNA from 1 species